rnacentral:lncRNA from 1 species
ACGCCACUCUACUCAGAGAAAAGGUGUCCAGAAGGCUGAGCAGGUCUAAAAAUGAAUCAAGAAAAACGAACGUCAUGAAUGAAGAGCACACACCAGUAGAAAAGAUCUCCUCCCUGGUUCGAAGGGCUGCCCUCACACACAACGACAACCACUUCAACUAUGAGAAGACACACAACUUCAAGGUCCACACAUUCCGGGGCCCACACUGGUGUGAAUACUGUGCAAAUUUCAUGUGGGGGCUCAUCGCCCAAGGAGUCCGGUGCUCAGACUGUGGAUUGAAUGUGCACAAGCAGUGUUCCAAGCAUGUGCCCAAUGACUGCCAACCUGAUCUCAAGAGGAUCAAGAAAGUGUACUGUUGU